AGAGUUUGAUCCUGGCUCAGGACGAACGCUGGCGGCGUGCUUAACACAUGCGAGUCGAACGGAAAGGCCCUUCGGGGUACUCGAGUGGCGAACGGGUGAGUAACACGUGGGUGAUCUGCCCUGCACUUUGGGAUAAGCCUGGGAAACUGGGUCUAAUACCGAAUACACCUCAUUGACUGCAUGGUUGGUGGGGGAAAGCUUUUGCGGUGUGGGAUGGGCCCGCGGCCUAUCAGCUUGUUGGUGAGGUUACGGCUCACCAAGGCGACGACGGGUAGCCGGCCUGAGAGGGUGACCGGCCACACUGGGACUGAGAUACGGCCCAGACUCCUACGGGAGGCAGCAGUGGGGAAUAUUGCACAAUGGGCGCAAGCCUGAUGCAGCGACGCCGCGUGGGGGAUGACGGCCUUCGGGUUGUAAACUCCUUUCAGCACAGACGAAGCGCAAGUGACGGUAUGUGCAGAAGAAGGACCGGCCAACUACGUGCCAGCAGCCGCGGUAAUACGUAGGGUCCGAGCGUUGUCCGGAAUUACUGGGCGUAAAGAGCUCGUAGGUGGUUUGUCGCGUUGUUCGUGAAAACUCACAGCUUAACUGUGGGCGUGCGGGCGAUACGGGCAGACUUGAGUACUGCAGGGGAGACUGGAAUUCCUGGUGUAGCGGUGGAAUGCGCAGAUAUCAGGAGGAACACCGGUGGCGAAGGCGGGUCUCUGGGCAGUAACUGACGCUGAGGAGCGAAAGCGUGGGGAGCGAACAGGAUUAGAUACCCUGGUAGUCC
rnacentral:rRNA from 1 species